rnacentral:rRNA from 1 species
CUUUCCGUAGGUGAACCUGCGGAGGGAUCAUUACAGAGUUUCUAACUCACAACCCAUCGUGAACAUACCUUUGUUGCUUCGGCGCGCUUCACGGCCGCCGAAGACCCUAAACUCUUGUUUUUACAUGUGUUACUCUGAGUAAUUCUUGAAAUAAAUCAAAACCUUCAACAACGGAUCUCUUGGCUCUGGCAUCGAUGAAGAACGCAGCGAAAUGCGAAAAGUAAUGUGAAUUGCAGAAUUCAGUGAAUCAUCGAAUCUUUGAACGCACAUUGCGCCCGCUGGUACUCCGGCGGGCACGCCUGUCCGAGCGUCAUUUCAACCCUCAAGCCCUCCUUCGGGAUGGGCCUGGUGUUGGGGCUCGGCCGCCAUCUCCGGCGGCCGUCCCCUAAAUACAGUGGCGGUCACGUCGCGACUCCUUUGCGUAGUAGAAACACCUCGCUCCGGAUAGCAACGCGGUCCACGCCGUAAAACCCCCAAUUUUCAAUGGUUGACCUCGGAUCAGGUGGGAAUACCCGCUGAACUUAAGCAUAUCAAUAAGCGGAGGAAA